GGGAAGCCUAUUGUUUUGGGGGCUUUAUACCGGCCGUGUGACGACGACGGUGACCAUGAGACGUGCCCGGAGGACGAUGGCACCGCAUCGGGUGCCUAGCUUGGACGUGGCGUCCAAGGCAGGCGGGUCGCGCCCUCGCCCGACCAGAUCGCCACCGGCUCGAAUCGCUUUGCGUGGUGAAACUGAAAAUGCCAGCCCUGCUCCCCGCCCUCCCGCUCCCGGACCACGGCGGCGCAUGUGCUUGUUGCAUCGCAUGCGUGCGCCUUUCCUCGAGGCCGGGCCUUCCGCCGCCUCGUUUCGUUUCCUUCGCCGGGAAUCGGAACCCCCGGACCAGGGAAAUCCGGUAUCCUAGGCUUCCUAGCGGCUAUCGCGUCUCUGGAAAAUGGAAACAACUUGUACGACGGUAGCUACAAGUUACACAAGGAUGAAGGUGGUGGAAUAACAUAAUUUUUUUAAUAUAUAGAAUAUAGAAGGUAGAAGAGUUGAUUUGGAAAUUGAUAUUUUUUAAAAAUUCCUCUCACCUCCUUUUUGUUAGACCUCUUGCAUAAGAGCUUCAGCUUUGACUCUAACUUUUCUAAUAAAACAGUUCCCUCUUUAUGUGUAAAAAGAGACUCAGCAGGAUCACCAUACUUGAUUAGAAACACCUCUCCUAUUUUCACGUAAGAGGAAGAGUUAAAGAAGCCUCUUUUUUGGGCUCCUGGCUUCGCUUGGUUCCUAGGGGCAGCUCUUUUUUCCAUUGUUAUGGAGAAGCCAACAGGUGAGCCCUUCAUUUGGUAGAUUAUUUGAAAGAGUUAUUAGAGAAGCCUUUAAAAAAGUCCUAUCAAAGAGAAUCUUAUUCUUGUGUUGAUUUACACGGUUUUCACUAAUAGUUUUUUUGAGAGGGUACAAGGACGCCACAAACUCAUACUGCUACACAUUACACCAUAUGCGUACACACGCGUGCGCGUCCAUUACACACUAGGAAGGGACCGACCGGAAAAAUCGAAAGGCCGUCGGGCUGGCUAUGGCGACUGGUUGGACGAUUUUUGACUGGUUAUUUUGGUUUUCGACUGGUUAUUUUGGUUUUUUCGAAAUAGGAACCAAAUUUGUUAACGGUCAAAUCGGUUUCGGUUAGUUCGGUUUUGGUUCUAGUUAUUUCGGUUCGAUUUCUUGGUUUCGGAUUAUUUUCCCUACGCCUACCAACUAAACCGAACCAAAGAACCAAACAACCAGGCCUACCAACUAAGCUAAGGCUCGGUCCUCUUUCCACUAAUAGAUUAGUUUACACCGGAUAUGUUCACACUACAAGUUUUUAGCACGCUACUACAGUGAGAUCAUCGUCCAUGGUUCGGGCUUUCAAUUUUGUACUAGGAAAACUAGGCCAAAAGUUCGAAAUUGCAAGGCCCAAAACUCAAGCAUAAAAGACUGUCCGCAACAGAUCAUGUAAAAUAGGGGAUUUAUAUUGUAGAUUAUACUGUUUACAAAGUGAAAUUUGAAAUAGAUGAUGAAAUAGAAUAGCUGUUGGAGACAGUUCAAGAUCUACGAAGUGAGGGUUGUGCUUGUGUCGUUGUGCGAAGGAAUGUCUAUUUCAAUCGCUUAACUAUCGCAAAAGUUAAAGUCAAUCUUUUUCUUUCUUAACUAUAAAACUAGACAUAAAUAUCCACUCGUCUUUAUUUAUUUAUUUCUGCUCAAUAUUUAAAAAACCAUAACAAAUCAUUAAAAAAUCAUAAAAUAGAAACCCCAAUAUUGUUAAGGUCUACAUAAUGAACAUAAAUUUUGUACUAAAGCAUACCAAAUUAUAUUUUUGCUGUGUAGAUCUAACUGUUGGGUGUGUCCUCUACAGCCGGUCAAUAGAGACUGGAUUGGGCUUAACCCAACUAUCGUUCCUUUAAUCGGGCCCUUGAUCGGGAGGGCCCACACUAACCACGGUUGGAGCCCCCACACACACGACGUUAUAUAUAGGACUAAGGGGUCGCAGGAAAAACUAACGCUAGUACCUCGUCUCAAAACCCUAGUCCUCAGAGGCACCCAUCACCUAGGCGUCGAAGUGUUUGGAAACGCGACAACCUACAGCGGCUCGGAUCCCGAUGCCUGCUGCUUCUCUGCAGGGCGACAGUAUGAAGAUAGCAACAACAACAAAGGUGUAUUUCCCCGUUCCUCUCAAUAGAUCAGUAGAUCAGAUCUACACGUUAUCAAGGUUUUACUUUCAGUUACGGAUUGAUAUUCUAGGGACUUAGGAAUCGAUCCUAGACAGUAUAGAUUCUAACAAUGGUAUCAGAGCCGUCCUAAGAACCCUAGAUCUCCUAAUCCGCAUUCGGUUUUAUGAGAUCACAUAAAGGUCUCAGAUCUAUGUGAUCGACUCAUUUUUUUUUUAUUAUCAUCGAUCACCCGAGAACAGAAAGAUUAGAAUAGACUGAAAUAAUUUUAGAUCUCGAGUUAGGUUUUUGGCCACUGUCAGAGACUGUCUCGACCAAACCCAAGAAAUCCGAGAUAGUAAAAAACAGAUCGAUGUUUUUAGGGUUAGGGUUUAAUAACCUAACCCAAAAUGAGUUUUAAAUAUAUGUCAACAGAGAUCACAGUGGCUCGGGAUCUUUUGCAUCCACGGCCUUGAUGACAGAACAGAUUAGUAAAGGUACAGAAAAUUAUCACAGAAAAAUCUACGUUCUAUCAACUCAUAACUCGAUCCCGAAUAUUACAUUAGAUCCAUACAUUCAUUACACAACGAGGGAUUCGGGUAAAUGAGGACUAGAUACGAGUUUUAAAAGUCGAAGACGGUCAAGAGACCGACUGAUCUUACACACACCCGACCUGUCGUGCUCGGACCACCGUCAGCUCCCAGCAGACAGCAGCUCGCCCGCCCAAAGGGAUGUGCUCGUUGGCGGCGAGGUCUGCGGGGCCCGUGUUUUCAGUGCAGAGAGACAGAUCGAUAAACAGGAAGCUGUUCUUGUACGGCUGAAAGAAAAAAAUAAUUAUAGCAAAGAGAGGACAUUGAGAAACCAAUGACCGGUUGUCAGGUUCUCCCUGGCGGCCGAGUAGUAGUGCGGCAGGUGAAAUUAAAAAAAAAAAACAGAGAGGGAGAAGAGGGAAAGUAGAACGGCGGCCAAAGAAAGCUCACAGGCGGCGUACAGAAACAGACGAAGCCGACAGAAACGAAAGGGACUCCGCCAAACAUAGAGCGGCCAAACACAGAGAGCAGUGCGAUGCCAAUCUCUCUAGCGGCCGGCAGGAAGAGAAUACAGGAAAUAGCUAGGGUUUCAGUUAGCCCGAAAUCUCCGCCCCUUAUAGACAGCCUACAGUACCCGUGUUGAUCUGGAACCGUCGGAUGCCCACGGAUGAUCAGGAUUGAGGCGGGAUUGAAGGGGGGGGGCGCAUGGGCCGGUUUGGUGGCCUAGGCCCAGGUUGCGGCCUGGCGCGCCUCGCCUGUGUGGGCUGCCUGGCGGCCAGGCUCCUAGGCGUUGGAGGCCAUGCCACAGUGGCCAGGCAUGGGCCACACAGAGCUAGGUCGUUAGGCCAGUUAGGCCAUUUUGGCAAAUUUAAUUUCCAGCGAAUUAAAUUUUAUUUAUUUAUUUCCUGGAAUAGAAACACUAAAUAGAAAUUAGAAAUAGUGAAGAAAAAUUCAGAAAAUCUGAGAAAUAUUUUCUCAGUUAUAGAAAAUACAGAGAUAUUUAUGGACUAUUUUCCGCUGCGUACUUUGGUACUUUAUUUAUGCAAUUUUUCAGUGGAUUAUGAAACCAACGUGAAUUAAUUAUUGUUUUUGAAUUGCAUAGAAUUCAGAAAAUUUGUGAUAAUUGAAUAUUCUAACCAACGUUAGAUAUUAUUACCACAUUUUGAACAGAAAUAUUUAUAUAUUUUUUUCUAGAUCAUCCAACGAUGAUUUAGAAUUUUAAGAACUAGAUUAUUAUUUGUUUUUCUAUGCAUUAUUGUUUAUUAUGAAGCCUACGUGGAUUAAUUCUCUUUAAGCGCAUAGAAAUUCAGAUUUUUUGUGGUGAUUGAAUAUUUUGACCAACGUCGAAUAUUGUUGCCACAUUUUAUACAAGAAUUAAGUUUUCUAGAUCAUCCAACGAUGGUUUAGAAUUUUAGAACUAGAAAAUUUGUAGAUCAGACAUGAUUAUUAUUUGACCAACGUCGAAUAUUUAAUUCAUGCAAGUUCUAUGUUUUCAGUAUUCAUGCAAGUCCUAAAUAUUUUCUGUUUUACUCUGCAAAAGUGCACAUUUUGGCCUACUAGUUGGUCAGAUAAGGUAGAUUAAACCGCUAUGUGGUAUUUAUUGUCACUUAUGGCGGGAAAAGAUUGAAAUGAUAACUACAGUGGAUGAAAUAGAUUCCUCACUGUGGUUUGAGAAACCCAUUAAGCCUACAGUAGGCUCACCUUAGGAUGACCUUAAGAUGGUGCAGUACAGCAUCUAUAAGGUCAACUGGAAAAGAUCCAAGUGUAAUGUACUUGAGCAUAAUAAGAGUUUCAUUCAGGAUCCUAUUGAGGGUGCUAUUCCAGAAUAUGAGACAUUUCAUGAUCAGUAAAGCACAUGUCUAAAUGGACAAGUGUUAUAUAGAUCAACUCAUGACACAGUGUGUCUAGAAGGAGGAAAGGUUGAUAAGUCAGAUAAGUGAUUCUAUCAAUCUUCCCAAACUAAGAAUACUCAGACAGAACAAGACCUCUAAGAAAGGUUCAAGAAUAAGAUCAAACAUGAUCACGAUGUUUUCUACAUGCAACAAUCAGACUGUUUCUCAGAUCCCCUGAGACCUGCCUCUAUUGCAAGAAGACAGGGCAUACAAUAGAAAGUGUCCAGAAUUCCUGCAAUAGAAGCUACAGAAUGCAAUUCCGUACAAACCUAAGGCUCCUAGAGGGCUGAAAACAGUUACAGUGGUUAACAGAAAGCAAGCAGACACUUAACUUCAGUUUCGUGAUUAGACAAUCAGCACAUCCACUAUCACUUCGGUGACAGAGACUGUGUGUUAUUCAGUUUUGAUAAUAAAGAUGUUGGUCUCGCCAUCUGACGAGACAUGCUUUAUUUAUCUUCGCACAGUGGUGCUAGAUACACCAGAAAACAAACUAGCCAACAUCGGCAGGAGUAAGAAAACAAUGUGAUGGAGAAACCUCGUCGGAAUUAUGGCACUAUCGUUUGGGCCAUAUUUCGAGGGGGAGAAAAGAAGUCUCGUUAAGGGACAGAUUCUCCAUCACCUAGACUUGACAGACUUAGUGCAAUGCAAAGAUUGCAUGCACAGUACGAGAGUGUUAGAAAUUAUUCAUAUAGAUAUAUGUGGUCCUUUUCCAGUUAGGACAGUAGAUGGGUUUUGACUUGUUCAUAACCUUCACACAUGACUACUCUCGCUACGAUUAUAUUUACCCUUUUUUUAAGGGACAGAUCAUAAGAUUUAGACAAGUUUAAAUAGUUCGAUGCUGAUGUAGAAAAACAACACGAUUUGAACACAAAGAUUGUCAUAUCAAAUCGUGUGGGGGAGUACUGAGGGCACCAUACUGAGUAUGGACAGGUCCCAGGAUCCUUUCGCAAGGUUCAUAAGUGAAAACAGUAUUGUAGCUCAGUAUUCAACACCUGGUGAACCGAUGCAGAAUGUGGUUGCCUAAAGGUGUAAGAAGAACACUGAUGGACAUGGUAAUGAGUAUGCUUAGUUACUUUAACUUACCAUUGGGUCUAUGGAUGGAGGCUUUAAAAACCACCAUGCAUAUACUAAAUAGAGUUCCUAGUAAAUCAGUGGCUAAAACUCCAUAUGAGUUGUUGACUGGCAGAUAGCCCACGCUCAACUACUUCAACAUAUGGGGUUGUCCAGCAGAAGCUCGAAUAUUUAAUCCUGGACAGGAAAAGCUAGAUGAGAGAACCACUAGCUACCAUUUUAUUGGCUAUCCUGAGAGAUCGAAGUGUUACAGAUUCUACUGCCCAGGCAGACAAACCAAGUUUAUAGAAACCAGACAUGCCAUUUUCCUAGAAGAUGACAUGAUCAAGGGGAGUAAGGUACUCAGAGAGGUUGACCUUCAGGAAAGAGGACGUAUGUCCCGAUUCCGAUGGUUGAAGAACCAUACUUCUCGAUACCCGCUGUGGUUCCACCAACGGUUGUAACGACUCGAGGUGAAACCCCUGCUGCAAAUAUUGUAUCACCAAGUGCAACUACUACAGAGCAAGUCACUACACCUUCUGCACAUUCUGGCUCUUCUGAGUCGGUUGCACAGGAGAGUUCACAUGACAGUAGUAGUGUCACGUCAAGUGAUGCACUAAUGCAGGAGCCCCAGAACGAACCAGAACUAGAAACAAAGUUUAUGAAGGUCUCAAAGGUCUAGACGAUCUGUGAUUCCUGAUGAUUAUGGAGUUUACACAAGUGUAGACAUAGAAAGCGAUGAGAUUUAUAUGUGUGCGGACAUUGAAGCAGAAAGUGAUCCCAUUACAUAUGAAACAGCUACGAGAAGCGCAAAUUAGUGGGUCUAGAAGACCAAGCGUGACUCCAAAGGGAAUAUAGAAAGAGACAAGGACAUGUGGCCAAGGCGUUCACACAGUGAGAAGGCAUUGACUACCAUGAAACCUUCUCACUUGUCCUAACAAAAGAUUAAUUUCGGAUCAUUAUGGCACUAGUGGCUCAUUUGAUCUAGAGUUCCAUGAGAUGGAUGUAAUGAAACAUCACUAAAUGGAGAGUUAACAGAAAACAUGUUCAUGGCACAACCAAAGGGUUUUGUCAUGAGCAGUUAAAGAAAAACAAGGGAUGUCACUUAUGGAGGUCCAUUUAAGGAUUAAAACAUUUCUCCAGACAGUGGUACAUCAAAUCUGAUCAGACUAUCAGAAAGUUUUGGUUUCGAGGAAAACGAGGAAGACAAUUGCAUUUAUGCAAAGUCUAAGGAAAGUAUAUCUUCCUUGUUCUGUAUGUCGAUGGCAUAUUUUUUUUAGCUAGUAGUGAUAAAGAUCUACUAGCGGAAACAGAAAGUUUUCGUUCCUCGAACUUCGAUAUAAAAAAAACAUAGGAGAAGCCUCUUACGUUUUUAAAUAGAAUUUCACAGAGAUAGGCAUAAUGAAGUAUUAGAACUCUCACAGAAGUCAUACAUAGAGAAGUACUAAAGAAGUACAGUAUGCAUCAGUGUAAGGCCACGCCUGCGCCAAUAGUCAAGGGUGAUAAGUUUGGGAAUCAUCAGUAUCCCCAGAUUCAGUGACAGAAAGAUCAGAUAAAGUCAGUACCAUAUGCUUCUACUAUCAGAAGCAUUUUGUAUGCUCAAAUAUAUAUUCGCCCUGACUUAGAAUUUACUACCGGGAUGUUUGGGAGAUAUCAGAUCAACCCAGGCAUAGAACACCGUUAAGCAGUUAAGAAGGCUCUAAUGUACCUCCAAGGUACGAAAAUGGCCUCAUGCUAAUAAACAGAAGAUCUAGUUCCCUACUUCGAGGUAUACAUUUACUAUAUCUGGGGGAGUUAUUUCUUAUAAAAGUUGCAAACAGCGAGAGCAUCGUCGACAAUGCACGCUGAGUUUGUAACCAUGCAUGAGGCAAAUGGGCAGGCAAUAAAGAUAAAGAAAUUUGUACCCGGAUUAAGAGUGGUUGAUAGCUUAGAGCGACCACUGAGAAUUUACUGCGAUAAUGAGCCAGCGGUACCGUAUUCCUAUAACAACAAGUCAUGUGGCGCUGCCAAGUUCAUUGACUUUUAGUGUUAUGUUGUUAAGGAGUAGAUUCAAGAUCAAACCAUAAAAGAUGAGCAUAACAGAACAUAGCAGAUGCCAGCGGAUCCGCUCACAAAAAGGUCUUCCACCCAACGUGUUAAGAUAUCACGUAGCCGGCAUGGGUUUAAGGGAGUGCCUAUGAUCUUGAAUCACAGGGGCUACAGAUUGCAACCAAAUAAAGUCUUUUCCGUUCUGAAGCAGGCGAGCAUGUUGUAGUCAAUGAGUGCGAUGAUACUUAAUCGGUCAUUGUCACACAUUGGUCUCUAUGUGUAAACUUGUCGAGGGAUGGAAUCCAGAAAAGUUGAGUACAAGGAAUGUAGAGAACAAAGGGGAGAUUGUUGGGUGUGUCCUCUACAGCCGGUCAAUAGAGACUGGAUUGGGCUUAACCCAACUAUCGUUCCUUUAAUCGGGCCCUUGAUCGAGAGGGCCCACACUAACCACGGUUGGAGCCCCCACACACACGACGUUAUAUAUAGGACUAAGGGGUCGCAGGAAAAACUAACGCUAGUACCUCGUCUCAAAACCCUAGUCCUCAGAGGCACCCAUCACCUAGGCGUCGAAGUGUUUGGAAACGCGACAACCUACAGCGGCUCGGAUCCCGAUGCCUGCUGCUUCUCUGCAGGGCGACAGUAUGAAGAUAGCAACAACAACAAAGGUGUGUUUCCCCGUUCCUCUCAAUAGAUCAGUAGAUCAGAUCUACACGUUAUCAAGGUUUUACUUUCAGUUACGGAUUGAUAUUCUAGGGACUUAGGAAUCGAUCCUAGACAGUAUAGAUUCUAACACUAACUAGUGAAUUUGAACAAAAAAUCAUGCUCAUUGGAUCGCUAUGACUGUAUUGUUGAUUUAUCUAGAUUUACAUGUAGUUUUAUCUAAGUUUGUCUAGAUAAAUAUAUAAAUAAGUCAUACAUGAUCCAAUAAGUAUGAAAUUUUCAUUACAUCUCAAGCAUAAAAUUAUUGACCAGUUAUAAAAAUGUCAUUAAAAUUGGACAGCAUAAACUAUAGCUAUGAAUUAAUUGUAGAAAAUUAUGGAUCCAAAACUAUUAUCAUUGUUAAAGAUACAUAGCAGGGUAUCAAGACCAACUCAACAAAGAAGGCUAUGGCAACUAGGUCUACGGGCUCGGUCAAGAGCCUAGGGACUCGACUUAUAAGUUCAGGGAAAAAUCCUACCCACAAGGAAGCUCAAGAAAGAUGAGAGCACCUAGAGGGGGAUGAAUAGGUGAUCCUGUAAAAACUUAAACUUAAAGCCACAAAAACUUGAUUAAGCGUUAGCACAAUAAGGCCAAGUGGCUAGAGAGGAGUUCUUGCAAAACACAACAACCACAAGAGGAUCAACACAGAUAGACACAGUGGUUUAUCCCGUGGUUCGGCCAAGUAAACUUGCCUACUCCACGUUGUGGCGUCCCAACGGACGAGGGUUGCAAUCAACCCCUCUCAAGCGGUCCAAAGACCCACUUGAAUACCAUGGUGUUUUGCUUUGUUUACUAUAUCCCGCUCGCGAGGAAUCUCCACAACUUGGAGUCUCUUGCCCUUACACUUUGAUGUUCACAAAGAAGCACGGAGUAAGGGAGGGAUGAGCAACGCACACGAGACACAAAAUCACAGCAAAUACGCACACACAAGACCUAGACUUGAGCUCAAAAGAAUAUCACGAGGUUCUCACUAGAACGGAGCUCAAAUCACUAAGAAUGUCGAAC
rnacentral:lncRNA from 1 species